GUCCAGGCUCCCUCGAUCUUUCCCUCGAGGCCGCUCAACUGUGCCGGACGUGUGUCUGGGAUGUCCAGCAACAAUUUGCACAUUCAUGUAUAAAUUGUUGCUGGACAUUUUUUAUUAUUUGAGUUUACUCCAAAACCUCACCCCAUGUGCAGCGCUAUUAUAAAAAAGGUUACUCUCAACCUUACACGCAGUACACAACAUUCGCCUGAAAUAAAGAUGUCGCUCCGGCAGCCAGUAGAGACGCAGUGAAAAAUACUUGUCCUCGAGUAACCAACGCGUUCUACUGGGAACGACCCAGCGGCGAACACCCGGCGAAAGAAAUACCAGCUGCUGUGAACAUACUGCUGAUUUAUAAUUUGGAUACUUUGUUUUAAAACGGCCCAAAAUACUGUUGACAUUUCAGUAUUUUUAUCAUUUGAUAUAUGAAUGUUUAGUGAUGCUUCUUAAUAUUAUUUUUGAUAUUGUGUUCAAUUUGUAUACUUUAGAUAUAAUUUCAUCCGGCACUUUAUUGAUUUGAUUUUUUUUUCUUGUGAAUGAUGUGUCAACAGUAUUUUUAUUCUCUACCCUUGUAUAAUUAAGUUUAGUCCCCGGACGGCAGAGGCGGUCUGAUUGUAACACUAGUCCUGGGAGCUGGCCUAAAGGAAAGAGAUCUGCUAUACAUGAAUGUAAUGGCUUUGAAGCCAGAACUAACCACUGAGUCAUCCUUUACCCGCAACAAAACUUAUUUUCGUUAUUUUAAGGUAAUGCUUGUUAUAUUAUAAUUUAUGUUGACAAUCACAAAUGCAUGCAUCACAACGAGCGUAUAUGUAUCUGUACUAGUAAGUAAAAAAAUAUUAUAAGUAAUGCCAGUUAUAUUCCAAUCGACAAGAUAUCAAUGAGAGAAUAUGUAAAUCUAUACUUUAAGGUAAUAAAAUAACUGUAAGGCAAAUGGAAGUAGUGACGCAAUAUUAUAAUCGUACUAUUCAUGUAUUAGGAUAUAUUCAUUGAAUCAAAUCUCGAUGUCAGUAGCAUUAAAUAUAUGGUAUUUAAUCUCAAGUAGUAUUGAAUGUAUCGUAUUUAAUCUGUAGUAGAAUUCUAUGUAUCGUAUUUAUCCAUAGUAGUAGUUAAGAAGAGGUUAAUUAAUUAAGAGCAACAUCAAGAAGUAUUCACAAGCAGCAGUUAGUAUAUAUGUCUUAGCGUUUAUGAACGUAAUAUUCUUAUUAAUAUAAUUAAAUAGGUAAGGCAAGA